rnacentral:rRNA from 1 species
GACGAACGCUGGCGGCGUGCCUAAUACAUGCAAGUAGAACGCUGAAGAGAGGAGCUUGCUCUUCUUGGAUGAGUUGCGAACGGGUGAGUAACGCGUAGGUAACCUGCCUGGUAGCGGGGGAUAACUAUUGGAAACGAUAGCUAAUACCGCAUAACAACAGUUGUUGCAUUACAGCUGUUUAAAAGAUGCAAUUGCAUCACUACCAGAUGGACCUGCGUUGUAUUAGCUAGUUGGUGAGGUAACGGCUCACCAAGGCGACGAUACAUAGCCGACCUGAGAGGGUGAUCGGCCACACUGGGACUGAGACACGGCCCAGACUCCUACGGGAGGCAGCAGUAGGGAAUCUUCGGCAAUGGGGGGAACCCUGACCGAGCAACGCCGCGUGAGGGAAGAAGGGUUUCGGAUCGUAAAGCUCUGUUGUAAGAGAAGAACGGGUGUGAGAGUGGAAAGUUCACACUGUGACGGUACCUUAGCAGAAAGGUACGGCUAACUACGUG